rnacentral:rRNA from 1 species
AAAACGACUCUCGGCAACGGAUAUCUCGGCUCUCGCAUCGAUGAAGAACGUAGCGAAAUGCGAUACUUGGUGUGAAUUGCAGAAUCCGUGAACCAUCGAGUCUUUGAACGCAAGUUGCGCCCGAAGCCAUUAGGCCGUGGGCACGUCUGCCUGGGCGUCACGC